CGUGCCGGAAAGCAGAUGGGUGUGCUGAGGGCGCGAUGGUGCUGCUAACAACUGCGAAGCGUGGGCAGUGGUAGCUGCGAAACACCGCUGGAGCCAGAGAAAAGAGGCAGAAGUGUUCACGUCUAGCAAAAGUUUGUUUGUAGUUCAUGUGAGCUGAGUUAGCUGACAGUGUUCCCAGCAUCUGAGAAGUACAGCUUUUGUAACAAUCCUUAAAGAAGUGCCACCACCUCUAAAAUGAUUGUUCCCAAUAAGCCUUGUUACAGGAACCAGGAAGAAUAACUAUUUUGAUUUGGCACCUGAAGAACUUACAACCAUAAAUUACUCUCAUCUUAUGCAUUUAUUUGUUCACUGUGGAUUUUUGAAAGGCAAAUGUUUGUUAUC